GUCAGAGUUCUUGUGCAGUCUGAUGGAUUCAGUGGUGCUGUGAUAUCCACAUGCUCACACCGGUGCUCACACACAGACAGGUCUGUGUGCACACACCUGCGUGUUCAGGUACGGGGCAGGGGAGCCCAAGGGAGCCGUGAGCUCGACAGCUCUGCUGCCUCUUGGAAUGAGCACAGAGGCAGACAGGUGAAGAUGACACAUUUGUGGGCAGAGUUUGAGGUAUAGACGCCAGAAUAUUGCUCCACGUGGGAUUCAUUCUGCUGCUUCAGUGUGGAUUAGAGUCCAGAGUACCUCUGCUCUCCAGUGUGAUGCCUCCAGGCUCAUCCUGCCGGGGUUUUCCCAUUCCCGCUUCCCGGUCCCAGUGGAUGUGCUGGA